rnacentral:tRNA from 1 species
GUAGCUCAGUUGGAUAGAGCAUCGGCCUUCUAAGCCGAGGGUCACAGGUUCGAUUCCUGUC